GAUGAAGAACGUAGCGAAAUGCGAUAAGUAAUGUGAAUUGCAGAAUUCAGUGAAUCAUCGAAUCUUUGAACGCACAUUGCGCCCGCCAGUAUUCUGGCGGGCAUGCCUGUUCGAGCGUCAUUUCAACCAUCAAGCCCCCGGCUUGUGUUGGGGACCUGCGGCUGCCGCAGGCCCUGAAAACCAGUGGCGGGCUCGCUGUCACACCGAGCGUAGUAGAUUUUCAUCUCGCUCAGGGCGUGCUGCGGGUUCCGGCCGUAAAAAGCCUUAUUUACCCAAGGUUGACCUCGGAUCAGGUAGGAAGACCCGCUGAACUUAAGCAUAUCAAUAAGCGGAGA
rnacentral:misc_RNA from 1 species